UAUAAUAACUGUAGCAGGUCUGUCAGAGUGACUGUGUAGUGACUGCAGAGAUCCAGGAAUGUAAUAACGGUAGCAGGUCUGUCAGAGUGACUGUGUAGUGACUGUAGAGACCCAGGAAUAUAAUAACUGUAGCAGGUCUGUCAGAGUGACUGUUGAGACCCAGGAAUAUAAUAACUGUAGCAGGUCUGUCAGAGUGACUGUGUAGUGACUGCAGAGAUCCAGGAAUGUAAUAACGGUAGCAGGUCUGUCAGAGUGACUGUGCAGUGACUGUAGAGACCCAGGAAUAUAAUAACUGUAGCAGGUCUGUCAGAGUGACUGUGUAGAGACUGUAGAGACCCAGGAAUAUAAUAACUGUAGCAGGUCUGUCAGAGUGACUGUGUAGUUCCUGUAGAGACCCAGGAAUAUAAUAACUGUAGCAGGUCUGUCAGAGUGACUGUGUAGUGACUGUAGAGACCCGGGAAUAUAAUAACUGUAGCAGGUCUGUCAGCAUGACUGUGUGGUGACUGUAGAGACCCAGGAAUAUAAUAACUGUAGCAGGUCUGUCAGAGUGACUGUGUAGUGACUGUAGAGACCCAGGAAUAUAAUAACUGUAGCAGGUCUGUCAGAGUGACUGUGUAGUGACUGUAGAGACCCAGGAAUAUAAUAACUGUAGCAGGUCUGUCAGAGUGACUGUGUAGUGACUGUAGAGACCCAGGAAUAUAAUAACUGUAGCAGGUCUGUCAGAGUGACUGUGUAGUGACUGCAGAGACCCAG